rnacentral:rRNA from 1 species
AAUAGAUACCCGGGUAGUCCACGCCGUAAACGAUGAGUGCUAAGUGUUAGAGGGUUUCCGCCCUUUAGUGCUGCAGCUAACGCAUUAAGCACUCCGCCUGGGGAGUACGGUCGCAAGACUGAAACUCAAAGGAAUUGACGGGGGCCCGCACAAGCGGUGGAGCAUGUGGUUUAAUUCGAAGCAACGCGAAGAACCUUACCAGGUCUUGACAUCCUCUGACAACUCUAGAGAUAGAGCGUUCCCCUUCGGGGGACAGAGUGACAGGUGGUGCAUGGUUGUCGUCAGCUCGUGUCGUGAGAUGUUGGGUUAAGUCCCGCAACGAGCGCAACCCUUGAUCUUAGUUGCCAGCAUUUAGUUGGGCACUCUAAGGUGACUGCCGGUGACAAACCGGAGGAAGGCGGGGAUGACGUCAAAUCAUCAUGCCCCUUAUGACCUGGGCUACACACGUGCUACAAUGGAUGGUACAAAGGGCUGCAAGACCGCGAGGUCAAGCCAAUCCCAUAAAACCAUUCUCAGUUCGGAUUGUAGG